AUCGCUUCUCGGCCUUUUGGCUAAGAUCAAAGUUUAGUUUCUGUUCUUAUCGAAUUAACCUUCGAUAGAGAUUCGAAUGAGUGCUUUGUCAAGAUACAUAUUGUACACGGAAAUAUUU
rnacentral:snRNA from 1 species